UACGAAGGGUGCAAGCGUUACUCGGAAUCACUGGGCGUAAAGCGUGCGUAGGCGGUUCGUUAAGUCUGCUGUGAAAGCCCUGGGCUCAACCUGGGAACUGCAGUGGAUACUGGCGGACUAGAGUGUGAUAGAGGAUGGUGGAAUUCCCGGUGUAGCGGUGAAAUGCGUAGAGAUCGGGAGGAACACCAGUGGCGAAGGCGAUCACCUGGGGUUGUUCUGACGCUGAGGAGCGAAAGCUAGGGGAGCAAACGGG
rnacentral:rRNA from 1 species